AAUCAGAUUUCUGCUUCCAACUGUACCAGGCAGUGAGCUUGGCUACCUGUUAUUUAGCAGGAAGCAUCUACAGAGAAUAAAAUGCACUGAGGUCCAAUGGAGGAGCGGGAAUGGAAAAGUUGGAAAAUGGGUGAGAGUUAAUAAGAAAACACAGUCUGCUCAGAAUCCCACCAAAGAGCCCCUGUUAAAAAGCAUGGACUUCCAUGGUAAAGCAUAUAUUUGGCACUGGAGUGACAAAUAAGCCUAUUUUUAUCUGCUGAUCUGCCCUGCUCCUGAGUUUAAGGACUUGCCCAUCGCUUCAUCCUUCAGCAAUCUCCCGUGUGGUUUCCCAUUUUGCUUCUUCUACAGGCAUCAUUUGUAUGGAAAAGGCAGCAACAGAUUUAUUUGGUGCACUUAUAAGAAGGAAAAGACAACAAAUUGUUAAGUUUGGUUUAUGUUUAUUCUCUUGUUUUCUUCUAAUAAAAAAAAGAUUUAAG